UUCGCAAUGCCCGAAAGGGUGACGAGGCGACGCCGCGUGGGUGAGGAAGGCCCUCGGGUUGUAAAGCCCUGUCAGGAGUUAAGAAAUAUAGGUACGCUAAUAUCGUAUCUAUUUGACAAAGGCUCCAAAGGAAGCCACGGCUAACUCUGUGCCUGCAGCCGCGGUAAUACAGAGGUGGCAAGCGUUGUUCGGAAUUAUUGGGCGUAAAGAGCACGUAGGUGGAUUUGUAAGUCAGAUGUGAAAGCCUUCUGUUCAACGGAAGAAUUGCAUCUGAAACUACAAACCUUGAGUAUAGGAGGGGAGAAUGGAACUUCUGGUGGAGCGGUGAAAUGCGUGGAUAUCAGAAGGAACGCCGGCGGCGAAAGCGAUUCUCUGGCCUAUUACUGACACUCAGUGUGCGAAAGCUAGGGGAGCAAACGGGAUUAGAUACCCCGGUAGUCCUAGCCGUAAACGAUGGGCACUAAGUAGAGGGGUUUU
rnacentral:rRNA from 1 species